CCUACCGGAGGUAGCAGUGGGGAAUUUUGGACAAUGGGGGCAACCCUAAGUCCGACCAUGCCGCGUGGGUGAAGAAGGCCUUCGGGUUGUUUUUUUUUUUUAUCAUGAUCCCCCCUUAUUUUUUUCCCCCUGAUUUGACGUACCUGAGAGUAGCACCGCUAUUUUUGUA
rnacentral:rRNA from 1 species